rnacentral:rRNA from 1 species
UACGGAGGGUGCUAGCGUUGUUCGGAAUCACUGGGCGUAAAGGGCGUGUAGGCGGUCUGUUAAGUCUGAUGUGAAAUCCCCUCGCUCAACGAGGGAACUGCGUCGGAUACUGGCAGACUCGAGUACCGGAGAGGAAGGUGGAAUUCCCGGUGUAGCGGUGAAAUGCGUAGAUAUCGGAAGGAACAUCAGUGGCGAAAGCGGCUUCCUGGACCAGCACCGACGUUCAGGCACGAAAGCGUGGGGAGCAAACAGG